AACGCAUAUUGCGCCCUUUGGUAUUCCGGAGGGCAUGCCUGUUCGAGCGUCAUUUUCACCGUAUCAAGCGUGGCUUGUGGUUGGGCCCUUUGUCACUUGGUGACAGGUCCGAAAGACAACGACUGGUGUCGUACCGACGCUGUAUGCAACGAGCUGAUCACAGCACGCAUCUGGCAGUUGUGUGGCCCGGUCUGCCCCCCUUUCUUUCUCCAGGUUGACCUCGGAUCAGGUAGGAAUACCCGCUGAACUUAA
rnacentral:misc_RNA from 1 species